GAACGGAGAUUAUACGCAGAGGCGAUUUCGGUCAAAUCAUGUGUAAUCUUAUUGGCGGACGGGUGAGUAACGCGUGGGUAACCUGCCUUACACUGGGGGAUAACACUUAGAAAUAGGUGCUAAUACCGCAUAAGCGCACGAAGCCGCAUGGAUUUGUGUGAAAAACUCCGGUGGUGUAAGAUGGACCCGCGUCUGAUUAGCUUGUUGGCGGGGUAACGGCCCACCAAGGCGACGAUCAGUAGCCGGCCUGAGAGGGUGGACGGCCACAUUGGGACUGAGACACGGCCCAAACUCCUACGGGAGGCAGCAGUGGGGGAUAUUGGACAAUGGGGGGAACCCUGAUCCAGCGACGCCGCGUGAGUGAAGAAGUAUUUCGGUAUGUAAAGCUCUGUCAGCAGGGAAGAAAGAAAUGACGGUACCUGACCAAGAAGCCCCGGCUAACUACGUGCCAGCAGCCGCGGUAAUACGUAGGGGGCAAGCGUUAUCCGGAAUUACUGGGUGUAAAGGGAGCGUAGACGGUUAAGUAAGUCUGGAGUGAAAGGCCGGGGCCCAACCCCGGGACUGCUCUGGAAACUAUUCAACUUGAGUGCAGGAGAGGUAAGCGGAAUUCCUAGUGUAGCGGUGAAAUGCGUAGAUAUUAGGAGGAACACCAGUGGCGAAGGCGGCUUACUGGACUGUAACUGACGUUG
rnacentral:rRNA from 1 species